ensembl:snRNA U6 U6 spliceosomal RNA
GUCGUUGGUCAGCACAUAUACUAAAACUGAAGUUUUACAGGAAAGAUUUCUGCAACCCCUGUGCAAGGAUGACAUUCAAAUUCUUAAAGCGUUUCCUAUUUUU